GAUGAACGCUAGCGGGAGGCCUAACACAUGCAAGCCGAGCGGUAGAGUUUCUUCGGAAACUUGAGAGCGGCGCACGGGUGCGUAACACGUGUGCAACCUACCUUUAUCUGGGGGAUAGCCUUUCGAAAGGAAGAUUAAUACCCCAUAAUAUAAUGAUUGGCAUCAAUUAUUAUUGAAAACUCCGGUGGAUAGAGAUGGGCACGCGCAAGAUUAGAUAGUUGGUGAGGUAACGGCUCACCAAGUCAAUGAUCUUUAGGGGUCCUGAGAGGGAGAUCCCCCACACUGGUACUGAGACACGGACCAGACUCCUACGGGAGGCAGCAGUGAGGAAUAUUGGACAAUGGGUGGGAGCCUGAUCCAGCCAUCCCGCGUGAAGGAUGACGGUCCUAUGGAUUGUAAACUUCUUUUGUACAGGGAUAAACCUACCCCCGUGAGGGUAGCUGAAGGUACUGUACGAAUAAGCACCGGCUAACUCCGUG
rnacentral:rRNA from 1 species